AUCAAGUGGUUUCGUGUUGAUCCCGUCGCGUUGAUUCAAUCAGCUCGUAGGGAGACAAAACAGAGAAAAAGAAAUUCGGGAAAGGAAUUUGCGUGACUACGCGAUCAAGGGUGAGCGAAGAAGCGUUUCGAGAUUUUCCGAUCCUGCUAGUGUGUUGGUGCUGGUCCGAUCGAUGCAGCCGAGGUUGGCCGAGAAAAUUUGCUGUAGUCCGGCCGCAGAGAGACUGUGAAUUUCGUUCGGACAAGGCCUUUCUACUGGCUGCCGGUGCGUUUUCGGUACUUAAUAGUCGGGUUCUUUUCAUUCAAUUUUCCUUAGCUGGAAUUUGCAUUUCCUUUUAGUGCAAAGCUUGAUCGUUGUUGUCAAAAUGUCGGACCUCGAUGAAAUCGGAGAUAUGAGCAAUUUUGAUGCGUGGUUGGAGAAGGAUUUCCUCAGCAAAAUCAGCCGGCUAGAGGCUGAAUGUGAAGAUUCCCGGGAAAAGAUCAAGAACUUGGAUAAGGAUCUAAAGAAGAAGAACAUCGAGUGUGAUAUUUUAAGGGCAAAGGUAGGGAAAUUAGAAACCGUGCCGUCAAAUAAUGCAGCCUCGUCAGAGAAGAUUGAAAUUCUCGAAAAGGAGCUGAAGCGGAAAACGAUGGAAUUGGACAUUCUUCGAUCAAAGUUAUCUAACGCAGAAACCAAAGGUUCAGAGGGUUCCCAGGAUUUAACGGAAAGGGUGAAACAAUUGGAACGGGAACUGAAGAAGAGGAUCAUCGAGAAUGGAAUUCUUCGUGGAAAACUCACUGACAUGGAUUCCGAGCCACCCACGCCCGAGGCUCAAGAGAAAAAUGAAGAUUUCGUGCGAAGUCUGCAGCGCACCGAGAGUGUGGUACUCAAAGAGAAGGUGAAGGAGCUUGAGGGAGAUCAUGAGGCAUCCGAGAAGACUGAACAACUCGAGCGAGAGUUGAAAAAGAAGAACAUCGAAAGUGACAUCUUGCGAUCCAAGUUGAAGCAAUUUGAAAGUUCGCCCGGAACAAACACGGAUUCCAAUGACAGAAUUCGUGAGCUUGAAAAACAAGUGCGCAAAUAUCAGAUUGAAGCUGAUAUUUUACGAGGCAAAGUCUCCUCAAUGGAAACUGCCGCAGCCGACAGAGAAGAUGAUGAGCUCGGUGAACGUAGCGAGGAGUUGGAGAAUGGUUUACAAAAAAGUACGACAGAAGGAAACAUGUUGCGAGCAAAAAUGCGGAUGUUUGAAAACGACUCCGCUUCGGCUGCUUCCGAGUCUAGCUCAGAAAAGAUUGAAGAACUGAAACGUGGCCUCAAGAAAAGCACAACUGAGAGUCAAAUUCUCCGUUCAAAGCUGUCCGAAAUGGAAAACAAACAAAGCGCAACGGGUGUCAACAUUUACAAAAUUGAAACGCUUGAGCAGGAACUCAAGAAAAAGAACAUUGAAAAUGACAUCCUCAGGUCGAAGGUCGAUCAGCUCGAAAGAGUUCCACUUGCCGACAGUCCGGCCAAUGCAAAGGUAGAGGAGCUGCAGAAAGAAGUACGAAAGCUCAAGAUCGAAAAUGACAUUCUCCGUUCGAAGCUUAACCAAGCAGAAGAAGAGCCAAUAGUCGCACAAGGCUCUAGCGACCGAAUCAGCGAAUUGGAGAACGAACUAAAGAAGCGAGUAAUCGAGAGUGACAUCUUGCGGGCCAAGGUCACCCAACUUGAGUGUGAACUAUCACCCACCAAAAACUCCGGCGAACGUAUCGAAGACCUGGAGAGCGAACUCAAGAAAAAGCUGCUCGAAAACGAAAUCCUCAAAUCCAAGGUCAGUCAGUUGGAAAGUGAAGUUCUAUCGCUGCAAGCCCAUGGAGGAAACAAGGGCGAAUCCCAAGAAAUCAAGAAACUCAAAGAAAAACACGAAGAAGUCCUCACCAAAGCCAAGGAACUGCUCUUCGAGCGCACCAAAACCGUCAAAACGCAGGAAAUGCAGAUCAAAGCCCUUCAAAACCAGAUCGAGAACAUCAAGGAAGUGGUCACCGUCACCAAGGACAUGCUAAACAUCCGGAACGCCGAACACGAACAGCUACAGAACCGGUUCGAGAACAUCGACACCCAGAUGAAGGCCGAACGAGAACGGCAGCAAGCUCUCGAGAAGAAGCUGGCCGUGGCUCAGAAAGCAUACAACGAGCUGAAGGACGAAUACAGCAAGCAGGUGGAUUUGUUCAAGGAUUUACAUGCUCUGUAGAUAUUUUCCUCAGUGGAACAGCAAAUCAUUCUUCAAGAACCAUAAAAAUCAAAGGUAAAGCAGCACUUCACGUUGGCAAAAAAUAGGCCACUAUAAGAGAAAGAGAGAGAGAAAAUGGCAUCACUGUGGGUUUUUUUUCUUCUACUAUUUCCUUCGGGGUGGACAGGAAACCAAUAAAUCUCAACAGACCUGCAAGAUGAGGGGGCGGAUUAAAGACCUGUGUCUCUAACACCUACUCAUCCUCAAUACUAGGAACAUUUUUCUCUUCUUUUUUUAUUCAACUCUUGAUUCCGGGCAAGAGAUUUCCCUCUACACACAUCCCACUUUUUGCAUUCAUUAACGAUUCAAAUUGAGCUCAUCUCUUUCGGCCAGUCGACAUCAAUCACAUCGAUGGUGUUGUUGCGAAAGUGCCAAAAACAAGUGCCUGAAUGUAUAACACAAAAAAAAUGAACAGACGUUUUAACCGGACUGAUUCACCGGCAAUCUGAAAAUCUUAACUCACUUUUUUGGAUUUACUCCCCAUGCAACACAAUUUUUUCUUCUCUCUCUAACACACGAGUAACCUCAACCCUUUUGAAAAUCCCGUCGUUGACUAGAAGUUGUGCGAUAGUAAAACUACCACUUCCCACUAAUUGCCAGUCGUGUUGAUUGAAAGUUCUAGAAAAGGACACCCAAAAAACCUACACCGAAAAGAUCGAGCUCAUCAAAGAGGAAGUCGAGCAGGUCCGGAUCAGUGGCCAUGGCAGCCGGAAGUAACACCACAACCCAUCCGGAUCAGCAUCGGCCCAUCGGAAACAGC